rnacentral:rRNA from 1 species
GGAUGUGCGGCGUGCUAUACAUGCAGUCGAGCGAAUGGAUUAAGAGCUUGCUCUUAUGAAGUUAGCGGCGGACGGGUGAGUAACACGUGGGUAACCUGCCCAUAAGACUGGGAUAACUCCGGGAAACCGGGGCUAAUACCGGAUAACAUUUUGAACCGCAUGGUUCGAAAUUGAAAGGCGGCUUCGGCUGUCACUUAUGGAUGGACCCGCGUCGCAUUAGCUAGUUGGUGAGGUAACGGCUCACCAAGGCAACGAUGCGUAGCCGACCUGAGAGGGUGAUCGGCCACACUGGGACUGAGACACGGCCCAGACUCCUACGGGAGGCAGCAGUAGGGAAUCUUCCGCAAUGGACGAAAGUCUGACGGAGCAACGCCGCGUGAGUGAUGAAGGCUUUCGGGUCGUAAAACUCUGUUGUUAGGGAAGAACAAGUGCUAGUUGAAUAAGCUGGUACCUUUGAGGUACCUAACCAUAAAGCCUCUGUUAACUAGUGUCAGCCUACGCUGCUAUAGUUAUGUGAUAAGCGUUAACCAGAAUUAUGGGCGU